rnacentral:rRNA from 1 species
UAACGCGAAGAACCUUACCAACUCUUGACAUCCCCCUGACCGGUACAGAGAUGUACCUUCCCCUUCGGGGGCAGGGGUGACAGGUGGUGCAUGGUUGUCGUCAGCUCGUGUCGUGAGAUGUUGGGUUAAGUCCCGCAACGAGCGCAACCCUUAUCCUUAGUUGCCAGCAUUCAGUUGGGCACUCUAAGGAGACUGCCGGUGACAAACCGGAGGAAGGUGGGGAUGACGUCAAAUCAUCAUGCCCCUUAUGAGUUGGGCUACACACGUGCUACAAUGGACGGUACAAAGGGCAGCGAAACCGCGAGGUGGAGCCAAUCCCAGAAAGCCGUUCUCAGUUCGGAUUGCAGGCUGCAACUCGCCUGCAUGAAGUCGGAAUCGCUAGUAAUCGCA